CAUUUUAAUUCAUCAAUUAAGAUAAUUUAUUUGGUCUAUUUCCAGUGAUUUUGAAUUUAGGGUUCUUAUUUUUAUCUCUUUUCUAAUUCAAUUUCAUUAAUGUUUUGUUUUAUAGCGUUGUGAUUUUAAGGUUUCUGAGAUUUUAAGCUUGUAACAUUUUCCUACUUCAUUUAUUUUUGUUUGGGUGCAGGUAUUGGGGAAUCUAAUUGGCAAUGUCAGUGAGAAAAGCGACGAGGAUAAUGCUUCUCUUAAAACUUUGCGAGAUGCAAGUAUGAAAACAAGGAUGGUAAAGGAAGCAUAUGACAUCGAGAAGCAUCAUAUAUAGUGGAUAGAAGGCUAUGCAGAUAUAUGUUCAACAAAUGGCAUGCCCAAUAAUGAUGGACGGGUAACUAUGAGAAGGUUAUGGAAUUGUACAAUGUCCCGAGGCUUAGCCGUAACUCCUUUCCUCUUCUAACUCCCCCAAGAUCUGAAAAUGAUAAUAGCACUAUCGGUUUUGGAGUUGCGGGAAGCAAUUCAGACGGACUGAAUUCAGAGUGAGUAGUUGAUUGUGUGUGAAAAGGUGAACAAUUUCUCAAUUUUAUUUGUAGAAAUGAAAUUUUUUUGUACCUUCAUUGUUCCUUGUACAGAAUUCUCUGGUUAUAGACCUUAUAGUAGCUUCAAAUUGAUUUAAGAUGGCUGUCACUCUUUUGAAUGCAUAUUUUGUUGUUGGCUUUAUUUUGGCACUCAGUUUUAGUUAUUCACAUUUUUCCUUAGCUAUUUAUAUGAUAUGCCAGAACAUUCGGAGAAAGGAAGUUUUAGUAGGGGGAUUCUGUUUACUGAACAUUUAGCAUCGAUUCUGUUUACUUGAGUGGAAGCCUGGAAGAAGUUGUUGAUGUUAUAUCUUUUGGGUUUUAUCUUCUUUUACUUAUUACAGAGUAUCUGUUAUGAGGAAAGCUGAGUCAAGAUUUUCAUAGGAAUUCGAAUGGAAUUUGAGAGUUGUGUUAGAGCUUGUGCCUUUUUCUCAAUGAAGAGUUUGGAACUUCCUAUAACCCAAUUUGACUGAUAAUACUUCCACUGUCACUGCUACAUACUAGAAUUGUUUUAUCAAUUUAACUAUUCUGUGCACUAAUAUUUGAGAAUCUUCUUUUCCCAUCUUACUAAAGUUGAUAUAUUUUCAUUUUUGGCUUGUGAUUUAGAUGGGCGUGGCCAUCCUAUUUAUG